rnacentral:rRNA from 1 species
GACGAACGCUGGCGGCGUGCCUAAUACAUGCAAGUCGUGCGGACCUUGUUGAAAGCUUGCUUUUAAAAGGUUAGCGGCGGACGGGUGAGUAACACGUGGGCAACCUGCCUGUAAGACUGGGAUAACGCCGGGAAACCGGGGCUAAUACCAGAUCGUUUUUUCCUCCGCAUGGAGGAAAAAGGAAAGGCGGCUUCGGCUGCCACUUACAGAUGGGCCCGCGGCGCAUUAGCUAGUUGGCGGGGUAAUGGCCCACCAAGGCAACGAUGCGUAGCCGACCUGAGAGGGUGAUCGGCCACAUUGGGACUGAGACACGGCCCAAACUCCUACGGGAGGCAGCAGUAGGGAAUCUUCCGCAAUGGACGAAAGUCUGACGGAGCAACGCCCCGUGAGUGAAGAAGGCCUUCGGGUCGUAAAACUCUGUUGCCGGGGAAGAACAAGUGCCGUUCGAACAGGGCGGCGCCUUGACGGUACCCGGCCAGAAAGCCACGGCUAACUACGUG